CCAACCGGGGAUUGCUUCAGUAACGGCGAGUGAAGCGGCAAGAGCUCAAAUUUGAAAUCUGGCCCCUUUGGGGUCCGAGUUGUAAUUUGCAGAGGAUGCUUCGGGUGCGGUCCCCGUCUAAGUGCCCUGGAACGGGCCGUCAUAGAGGGUGAGAAUCCCGUCUGGGAUGGGCGGCCGCGCCCGUGUGAAGCUCCUUCGACGAGUCGAGUUGUUUGGGAAUGCAGCUCUAAGCGGGUGGUAAAUUUCAUCUAAAGCUAAAUACUGGCCGGAGACCGAUAGCGCACAAGUAGAGUGAUCGAAAGAUGAAAAGCACUUUGAAAAGAGAGUUAAACAGCACGUGAAAUUGUUGAAAGGGAAGCGUUGUCCACCAGACUCGCCCGGGGGGGUUCAGCCGGCACGUGUGCCGGUGUACUCCUCUCCGGGCGGGCCAGCAUCGGUUUGGGCGGCUGGUGAAAGGCCCCGGGAAUGUAACACCCUUCGGGGUGCCUUAUAGCCCGGGGUGCCAUACAGCCAGCCUGGACCGAGGCCCGCGCUUCGGCGAGGAUGCUGGCGUAAUGGUGGUCAACGGCCCGUCUUGAAACACGGACCAAGGAGUCUAACAUCUAUGCGAGUGUUCGGGUGUCAAACCCGUCCGCGCAGUGAAAGCGAACGGAGGUGGGAGCCCCUCGGGGCGCACCAUCGACCGAUCCUGAUGUCUUCGGAUGGAUUUGAGUAAGAGCAUAGCUGUUGGGACCCGAAAGAUGGUGAACUAUGCCUGAAUAGGGCGAAGCCAGAGGAAACUCUGGUGGAGGCUCGCAGCGGUUCUGACGUGCAAAUCGAUCGUCAAAUUUGGGUAUAGGGGG
rnacentral:rRNA from 1 species